rnacentral:rRNA from 1 species
GAUGAACGCUAGCUACAGGCUUAACACAUGCAAGUCGCAGGGUAACAUGAGGAAAGCUUGCUUUCCUUGAUGACGACUGGCGCACGGGUGAGUAACGCGUAUCCAACCUUCCCAUAACUACGGGAUAACCCGUUGAAAGACGGCCUAAUACCGUAUGAUAUCGUUUGCUGACAUCAAAUAACGAUUAAAGGUUUAGCGGUUAUGGAUGGGGAUGCGUCUGAUUAGCUUGUUGGCGGGGUAACGGCCCACCAAGGCGACGAUCAGUAGGGGUUCUGAGAGGAAGGUCCCCCACAUUGGAACUGAGACACGGUCCAAACUCCUACGGGAGGCAGCAGUGAGGAAUAUUGGUCAAUGGGCGAGAGCCUGAACCAGCCAAGUAGCGUGCAGGACGACGGCCCUAUGGGUUGUAAACUGCUUUUAUGUGGGGAUAAAGUGCGUGACGUGUCAUGCAUUGCAGGUACCACAUGAAUAAGGACCGGCUAAUUCCGUG